rnacentral:rRNA from 1 species
UACAUGCAAGUCGUACGCACUGCCCAACUGAUUGAUGGUGCUUGCACCUGAUUGACGAUGGAUCACCAGUGAGUGGCGGACGGGCGAGUAACACGUAGGUAACCUGCCUCGGAGCGGGGGAUAACAUUUGGAAACAGAUGCUAAUACCGCAUAACAACAAAAGCCACAUGGCUUUUGUUUGAAAGAUGGCUUUGGCUAUCACUCUGGGAUGGACCUGCGGUGCAUUAGCUAGUUGGUAAGGUAACGGCUUACCAAGGCAAUGAUGCAUAGCCGAGUUGAGAGACUGAUCGGCCACAAUGGAACUGAGACACGGUCCAUACUCCUACGGGAGGCAGCAGUAGGGAAUCUUCCACAGUGGGCGCAAGCCUGAUGGAGCAACACCGCGUGAGUGAAGAAGGGUUUCGGCUCGUAAAGCUCUGUUGUUGGAGAAGAACGUGCGUGAGAGUAACUGUUCACGCAGUGACGGUAUCCAACCAGAAAGUCACGGCUAACUACGUGCCAGCAGCCGCGGUAAUACGUAGGUGGCAAGCGUUAUCCGGAUUUAUUGGGCGUAAAGCGAGCGCAGGCGGUUGCUAGGUCUGAUGUGAAAGCCUUCGGCUUAACCGAAGAAGUGCAUCGGAAACCGGGCGACUUGAGUGCAGAAGAGGACAGUGGAACUCCAUGUGUAGCGGUGGAAUGCGUAGAUAUAUGGAAGAACACCAGUGGCGAAGGCGGCUGUCUGGUCUGCAACUGACGCUGAGGCUCGAAAGCAUGGGUAGCGAACAGGAUUAGAUACCCUGGUAGUCCAUGCCGUAAACGAUGAGUGCUAGGUGUUGGAGGGUUUCCGCCCUUCAGUGCCGGAGCUAACGCAUUAAGCACUCCGCCUGGGGAGUACGACCGCAAGGUUGAAACUCAAAGGAAUUGACGGGGGCCCGCACGAGCGGUGGAGCAUGUGGUUUAAUUCGAAGCUACGCGAAGAACCUUACCAGGUCUUGACAUCUUGCGCUAACCUUAGAGAUAAGGCGUUCCCUUCGGGGACGCAAUGACAGGUGGUGCAUGGUCGUCGUCAGCUCGUGUCGUGAGAUGUUGGGUUAAGUCCCGCAACGAGCGCAACCCUUGUUACUAGUUGCCAGCAUUAAGUUGGGCACUCUAGUGAGACAGCCGGGUGACAAACCGGAGUGAAGGUGGGGACGACGUCAGAUCAUCAUGCCCUUUAUGACGUAGGGCUACACACGUGAUACAAAGGACGGCACAACGAGUCGCAAGCUCGCGAGAGUAAGCUAAUCUCUUAAUGCCCUUAUCUGUUCGGACUGUAGGCUGCAACUCGCCCACUCGAAGUCGGAAUAGUUAGUAAUCGCGGAUCAGCAUGCCGCGGUGAAUACGUUCCCGGCCCUCGCACAAACCGCCCGUCA